AAUAGAGCGCCAGGACUGCUAUAGGCAGUUGACGAGGACUGGGUUUAUCGAAAUUUUCGGCGGAUGGCCCAGAGGUUGAUACAACCUUUACCGAUGGACAAAAACAGUUUGCGAGAACUGAACAAAU
rnacentral:ncRNA from 1 species